UUUUGCCAUGGCCCACCAAAAGCUUGGAUCAGGGUAAAAGUUGUGCGCUAGAAGUUUCAUGGGGUGUUACAUCACAUGGACCGUUCAGAUUUUGGGCUCACAUCAAGCACACAAAGAGAAAUUUAACAAGAUAAUCAUGAUUGUACAAACAUAUUCAAUCAUAAAGCAAUCCAAAUUAAAUGGGGAAAAAACUACGGCACAAAGUAAUAAUGCACUAUAAAAAAACGAAGUUACAAGAGAUGAAAUCUUAGCAAUCAAAGCUCCAAGAA